rnacentral:rRNA from 1 species
UACAGAGGUCUCAAGCGUUGUUCGGAUUCAUUGGGCGUAAAGGGUGCGUAGGCGGUCGGGUAAGUCUGAUGUGAAAUCUCACAGCUUAACUGUGAAACUGCAUUGGAUACUAUUCGGCUUGAGAGUUGGAGGGGGGACUGGAAUUCUUGGUGUAGCAGUGAAAUGCGUAGAUAUCGAGAGGAACACCGGUGGCGAAGGCGGCCAACUGGACGAAUACUGACGCUGAGACACGAAAGCGUGGGGAGCAAACAGG